GAUGAACGCUGGCGGCGUGCCUAAUACAUGCAAGUCGAGCGAAUGGAUUAAGAGCUUGCUCUUAUGAAGUUAGCGGCGGACGGGUGAGUAACACGUGGGUAACCUGCCCAUAAGACUGGGAUAACUCCGGGAAACCGGGGCUAAUACCGGAUAACAUUUUGAACCGCAUGGUUCGAAAUUGAAAGGCGGCUUCGGCUGUCACUUAUGGAUGGACCCGCGUCGCAUUAGCUAGUUGGUGAGGUAACGGCUCACCAAGGCAACGAUGCGUAGCCGACCUGGGGGGAUGAUCGGCCACACUUGGACGGAGACACGGCACAGACUCCUACGGGAGGCAGCAGUAGGGAAGCUUCCGCAAUGGACGAAAGGCUGACGGAGCAACGCCGCGUGAGUUAUGAAGGCUUUCUGGUCGUAAAACUCUGUUGUUAGGGAAGAACAAGUGCUAGUUGAAUAAGCUGGCACCUUGACGGUACCUAACCAGAAAGCCACGGCUAACUACGUGCCAGCCGCCGCCGUAA
rnacentral:rRNA from 1 species